rnacentral:rRNA from 1 species
CAGUAGCCACGGUAAUACGAAGGGUGCAAGCGUUAAUCGGAAUUACUGGGCGUAAAGCGUGCGUAGGCGGUUUGUUAAGUCUGCUGUGAAAUCCCCGGGCUCAACCUGGGAAUGGCAGUGGAUACUGGCAAGCUAGAGUGUGUCAGAGGAUGGUGGAAUUCCCGGUGUAGCGGUGAAAUGCGUAGAGAUCGGGAGGAACAUCAGUGGCGAAGGCGGCCAUCUGGGACAACACUGACGCUGAGGCACGAAAGCGUGGGGAGCAAACAGGAUUAGAUACCCGCGUAGUCCCUGUCUCUUAUAA